AGAUAAUGCCUGUUCAUAACAAAUUAAGAACUGUGUUUGUUCUAAACCUGCUGAAAUUCUUGUGUGCAGGAGAAAGUUCCAGGGACAGAAGGAUCCUCAGC